AUUAAAACUUCAGUAACUUAAUUUGAUUGGGGAAUUUGCAAGGAAGGCCAUCAGCAGUCAAACUAAAUUUGCUUUGAUUUCGGCAAAGAUAGGGUGUUCGUUUUUCGUAGAUAGACUAUAUUAUGCUUAAUACCUGUGUUUUUCACCUUUUUAUCAAAGUAGCGAAACUAGCCGGCUGGCAGAUGACAAAGUUCCCAGCUUGAGAUAAAACGUAUUCGAAUGAACAAUGAGUGGAAAUGUAUUUUCGUGUAGGUAAUUUUUCGGUUCAUUCAUGGGCCAGGAUUCACUUCAAUCGGCACAAAGGCACCGCAGGAUGUCUACUCUGAAUGGGAAUCGAUGUUUCGGUUGUUUUUCGUUUCCGUUUCCUGUCCUGCGUCGCAACGAAUGCGAUUUAAUUUCCAUUGUCCCAUUGCCAAUCAAUACAAAAGUCAUUUCGAAAGUAUCCAGCCAGUACACUGCUGUGUGAGAGUUGGCUAAGUAGUAGACACUUAGCCGUGAAGUGUUCGGAUUGCAGCCGUGGCCAGGUGUUCACUUGACUCGGCCCUCUUGAUUCAGUUUGAGCCGGACGAGAUUUUAAGCCGUGUUCUGAUCAGAAGAUACCUCGCUGCUCAUUCCAAAAAUAUCGAUUUAACUUUAAAACCAGAUUAACCCAAUAAUGAUUUUGAAUCUACGACUCAAACCAAAUGGAAAAAAUCUGUCAUCAACAUGACAAAGCGGCUUUGCCGAGUAAUUUUGUUGGGAGGCUUUAGUCUUUUGGCCAAGCAAUAUAAAUGUCCAUUUUCAUGUUUGAUUACGUGACACAUUUACUGAUUGCUACUCGUAAAAAUGUGCCUGUCUGCCAACAAAAAAACAGGAGGAACAAAAAGUUCGGCAGGAUUUAAAGGUGUUUGCUGGUUAACGAACUCUGGAAAGGAUUAAGUAAGAAGAUAGCCCUUAAACUUUAGGAAAUACAUGAAAGAGUUAGAUUUUAACAUAACCCAAAUUAAAAGUUCAUUCGAAGCACAUGAUAUUCAAAUACAUGCAAUAAAAGAGAAGAAAUUUUAGUCUAAAUAUCAUAAAUUUGGGAAACAUUAGGAACUCAAG
rnacentral:sRNA from 1 species